GAUAAACGCUAGCGGUGCGCCUAACACAUGCAAGUCGAGCGAUCGAACUGGACUGAUCACCCUUCGGGGUGAGAGGACCAGUGACGGAGCGGCGGACUGGUGAGUAACGCGUAGCCAACCUACCCCCUUGACGGAGAUAACUACCUGAAAGGGUAGCUAAUACCCGAUAUUGCUCGAGAUCGAAAGAUCUUGAGCCAAAGGCGGUCUUGCCGUCGCAAGAGGAGGGGGCUGCGUCCUAUUAGCUUGUUGGUGGGGUAAUGGCCCACCAAGGCGAUGAUGGGUAGCUGGUCUGAGAGGAUGGCCAGCCACAUUGGGACUGAGAUACGGCCCAGACUUCUACGGGAGGCAGCAGUGGGGAAUCUUUCGCAAUGGGCGAAAGCCUGACGGAGCGACACCGCGUGGGGGAUGAAGGCUUUCGGGUUGUAAACCUCUUUUCUGGGGGAAGAAUAAGGGCGGGAGGAAAUGCCCGUCCGAUGACGGUACCCCAGGAAUAAGCAUCGGCUAACUUCGUGCCAGCGGCCGCGGUAAGACGAAGGAUGCAAGCGUUAUCCGGAAUUACUGGGCGUAAAGGGCGCCUAGGCGGCUGAGUAAGUCACCCGUGAAAGCCCUCAGCUCAACUGAGGAAUGUCGAGUGAAACUGCCCAGCUUGGGUGCAGGAGAGGAGGGUGGAACUCACAGAGUAGCGGUGGAAUGCGUAGAUACUGUGAGGUACCCCGAUGGCGAAGGCAACCCUCUGGCUGCUACCGACGCUGAAGCGCGAAAGCGUGGGGAGCAAAGGGGAUUAGAUACCCCGUAGUCCACGCCGCAAACGAUGUUCACUGGGUGUCGGUCGCUAAUACAGAUCGGUGCCGGAGCUAACGCGUUAAGUGAACCGCCUGGGGAGUACGGCCGCAAGGCUAAAACUCAAGAGAAUUGACGGGGCCCCGCACAAGCGGUGGAGCACGUGGUUUAAUUCGAUGAUAAGCGAAGAACCUCACCUGGGUUUGACAUGCUAGUGGUAGGAACCGGAAACGGGGACGACCCUUGCCUUCGGGUAAGGGAGCUAGUACAGGUGAUGCAUGGCUGUCGUCAGUUCGUGUCGUGGGACGUUGGGUUAAGUCCCGAAACGAGCGCAACCCCUGUCGUCAGUUGCCAGCGGGUAAAGCCGGGGACUCUGACGAGACUGCCGGUGAAUAGCCGGAGGAAGGAGGGGAUGACGUCAAGUCAUCAUGUCCCUUAUGCCCAGGGCGACACACAUGCUACAAUGGGGGGUACAAAGGGCUGCAAUGCCGUAAGGCUGAGCCAAUCCCAAAAAACCUUCCUCAGUUCGGAUUGAGGUCUGUAACUCGACCUCAUGAAGCCGGAAUCGCUAGUAAUCGCAGGUCAGCCACACUGCGGUGAAUAUGUACUCGGGGCUUGUACACACCGCCCGUCACACCAACCGAGUGGGGGGUACUUAAAGUCGCUCUUUAUAGAGCGCCAAGGGUAACCUCCGCAAGAGGGGUG
rnacentral:rRNA from 1 species